UACGUAGGGGCCUAGCGUUGUCCGGAAUUAUUGGGCGUAAAGAGCUCGUAGGUGGUUCGGCAAGUCGGAUGUGAAAUCUCCACGCUUAACGUGGAGGGGCCAUUCGAAACUGCUGUGACUUGAGUCCGGUAGGGGAGUGUGGAAUUCCCGGUGUAGCGGUGAAAUGCGCAGAUAUCGGGAGGAACACCAGUAGCGAAGGCGGCACUCUGGGCCGGUACUGACACUGAGACGCGAAAGCGUGGGGAGCGAACAGG
rnacentral:rRNA from 1 species